rnacentral:tRNA from 1 species
GAAUAAGAAGUAAAUUAUUACAUUUAGUUUCGACCUAAAAAUUUGGUAUUAAAAAUAUAUCCUUAUUUA